rnacentral:rRNA from 1 species
AUGAAGGAGAUCUUGUUCAGCAUGUUCUAUUCCAUACUGGUAGGAGAAGAACCCGACUCGGUAUUCUUAAAAAAAGAGGGGAAGCAGAACCAAGUCAAGAUGAUAUGGGUCGCCCCUUCUUCUUGCACCAAAGAUCUUACCAUUUUCGAAGGAACAAGGGCUACAUUUCUUUUCAAUUUCCAUUCAAGAGUUUCUAUCUGUUUCCACGCCCUUUUCUUGAGACCUCGAAACAUGAGGACAAAUUACUUCUCUUAG